CACGUAGGGGGCAAGCGUUGUCCGGAUUUAUUGGGCGUAAAGAGCUCGUAGGUGGUUUGCCAAGUCGGGGUUGAAAUCUUUCGGCUUAACCGGAAAAGUGGCUUCGAUACUGGCAAGCUGGAGGGAGGUAGGGGCGGAUGGAACUUCCGGUGGAGCGGUGAAAUGUGUUGAUAUCGGAAGGAACGCCGGUGGCGAAAGCGAUCCGCUGGACCUCUUCUGACACUGAGGCGCGAAAGCCAGGGGAGCAAACGGG
rnacentral:rRNA from 1 species